rnacentral:rRNA from 1 species
GGGUAGUAAACUGCUUUUAUACGGGAAGAAAAAGGGGCACGUGUGCCCUGUUGACGGUACCGUAUGAAUAAGGACCGGCUAACUCCGUGCCAGCAGCCGCGGUAAUACGGAGGGUCCGAGCGUUAUCCGGAAUUAUUGGGUUUAAAGGGUCCGUAGGCGGGCCGGUAAGUCAGGGGUGAAAGUCUGCCGCUCAACGGUAGGACUGCCCUUGAUACUGCCGGCCUUGAGUCAUGGUGAAGUCGGCGGAAUAUGUAGUGUAGCGGUGAAAUGCAUAGAUAUUACAUAGAACACCGAUUGCGAAGGCAGCUGGCUAACCAUGUACUGACGCUGAUGGACGAAAGCGUGGGUAGCGAACAGGAUUAGAUACCCUGGUAGUCCACGCCGUAAACGAUGGAUACUAGCUGUCCGGGGCCUUGAGCCCUGGGCGGCCCAGCGAAAGUGAUAAGUAUCCCACCUGGGGAGUACGUUCGCAAGAAUGAAACUCAAAGGAAUUGACGGGGGCCCGCACAAGC